rnacentral:misc_RNA from 1 species
UAACAUAGAUACAUUCAAAUGCAGAAAUG